rnacentral:rRNA from 1 species
CUCGUAGGCGGUUCGUCGCGUCCGGUGUGAAAGUCCAUCGCUUAACGGUGGAUCCGCGCCGGGUACGGGCGGGCUUGAGUGCGGUAGGGGAGACUGGAAUUCCCGGUGUAACGGUGGAAUGUGUAGAUGUCGGGAAGAACACCAAUGGCGAAGGCAGGUCUCUGGGCCGUCACUGACGCUGAGGAGCGAAAGCGUGGGGAGCGAACA